GACGAACGCCGGCGGCGUGCCUAAUACAUGCAAGUAGGACGCACAGUUUAUACCGUAGCUUGCUACACCAUAGACUGUGAGUUGCGAACGGGUGAGUAACGCGUAGGUAACCUGCCUAUUAGAGGGGGAUAACUAUUGGAAACGAUAGCUAAUACCGCAUAACAGUAUGUAACACAUGUUAGAUGCUUGAAAGAUGCAAUUGCAUCGCUAGUAGAUGGACCUGCGUUGUAUUAGCUAGUAGGUAGGGUAAAGGCCUACCUAGGCAACGAUACAUAGCCGACCUGAGAGGGUGAUCGGCCACACUGGGACUGAGACACGGCCCAGACUCCUACGGGAGGCAGCAGUAGGGAAUCUUUCGGGCAAAUGGGGGGAAACCCCUGACCGAGCAAACGCCGCGUGAGUGAAGAAAGGUUUUUCGGAUCGUA
rnacentral:rRNA from 1 species